rnacentral:hammerhead_ribozyme from 1 species
AUCCAGCUGACGAGUCCCAAAUAGGACGAAACACGCUUAUUGGAU